UACAGAGGGUGCAAGCGUUAAUCGGAAUUACUGGGCGUAUAGCGUGCGUAGUCGGUUAUUUAAGUCGGAUGUGAAAUCCCCGGGCUCAAUCUGGGAAUUGCACUCGAUACUGGGUAGCUAGAGUUCGGCAGAGGGAAGUGGAAUUUCUGGUGUAGCGGUGAAAUGCGUAGAUAUCAGAAGGAACAUCAGUGGCGAAAGCGACUUCCUGGACCAGAACUGACUAUGAGGCACGAAAGCGUGGGGAGCAAACAGG
rnacentral:rRNA from 1 species